GCAGAGUAGGGGGAAAGCCUGCAGCAGGGCUGGCUGUUAAACCCAGGACCGCCUGCCAUCCCAUUCCUGAGGUCCAAGCACUUCCCUUUACAGCAGACCAAGCUUUAGGAUCAGCCACAGGGUGCUUGGUAGCUGGCUCAUGGGCCCUGCCUAGUAGACGUUAAGGCUGCCUAGGAACCAGCCUUUUGGGACUUCCUAGACUACUUUACUACAAACACUGGAUCUGCCAGGCCUUGACUGUGAGGCAGUGAGCCCUGAGUGUCCCAGGCUGGCAGGAGUAGUUACUACACAGAAGGAAGGCCAAAGCCACAUUCACCUGGUAAUGUGGCGGCUGCACCCAGCCUUCCUUGGCUCAGACGGAACUUUUUUUUUUUCUGAAUAACUUUUUGGGGGUAGAAACCAAAUUUCUUUAAUAUAUAUAUACACAUAUGGAUAACUAUGUAUACACACUUUGGGGGCCUAUUUAUGUUCCAUUGUAAGUCAUUCUUUGUCUGUCUGGUCUGCUUCCUGAUGUGUUUUGUUUCCUAUUGUAAUGGUGCUUUUCCUGGGAUGGACUAAACGGUUUAUUUUCUGUUCUGAUUAAUGUGCUGAGAAAGAAACGGGAGACCUUGAAUGUUGACAGGAUCCAUGGUGAGGGUGUUUGGGUUAUGUGUUAAAUAGCCAUUCGUUCUGGAAGACCAGGACGGGGCCAUAAUAAAGUGGAAAGGACUGUGA
rnacentral:lncRNA from 1 species